rnacentral:misc_RNA from 1 species
GCAAGCUUCAUACUCUCCAUUGAGCUUCCAACUUUUUCUCCGUCCUACAAAAUUUCAUCAGUGAAUUGCAGCAAUGGCGGAGAAAGGAGGAAAAGGGUUUUCUUUGCCGAAAAGUGGAAAGUCUUCUCUGAAAUCCCCUGCAUCCAAAGGGAAGGAUGAUAGCUCAGCAAAGUCCAAAAGAGGAAGGAAAGUUCAGUUUGAUUCUGAAGGAUCGCUUGAUACCAAUUCCACAAAAUCAAAUGGAAAAGCUGAUAUACCAUCUUUCAAAGGUGAUUUGGGCAAAGCCGGGAAAGGAGAGAAAGCUGGCAGUGCUGGUAAAAGUCAAAAAGCAAAAGCACCUGAUCCCUUGGAGCUGAGAGUUGAGCAAGAGCUUUCAACCAAAACAACAUGCAUGAUGGAUUGUGAAGCUGCUGAUAUUUUGCAAGGAAUCCAAGAGAACAUGGUGGUAUUGUCUGAUGAUCCAGCCAUAAAACUACCUGUUUCAUUUGACAGGGGAUUGGCAUAUGGUCAAAGGAUCAGGCUUUAUGAUAAUCCCCAGGCUGUUGAACAAAUACUUGGGCCUCUAAAACAGCAUGGCGUUUCUGAUGGGGAGCUUUGCAUGAUUGCCAACUUUCCCUUGGAAUCUGUUGAUGAAGUGUUUGCUUUUGUUCCCUCAUUUAAGAAUAGAAAGAGCAAGCUGAGAGUUCCCCUCGAGAAUGUCUUGGCUGAACUAACCAAACUUAGAAAGGCAGCAUAAAUGGCUCAAGAGGAGCAUUUUAUGGUACUCGUCCAGAGGGUUCUGCAUGUCUUACUGAAGGUCAUGCCCAACAGUUGAGCAGCCAGCAACUGUUGUCGUCUUUCUUCUUCUGUCUUCUGUCUUUCUUUUGUCUAGUUAUUAGCUAGGAUUUCAUUGCUUCAGUGUCAACCUGUUAGCUGGCUGAUUCCCAAAAGGAAGAUGCCCUCAAAUUAUCCUACCAAGAAACAAAAAAAAGGAAGCGUUCCUAUGUUCACAACCCAGCCAGAGGCGGAUCCAAAAUUUGAAGUUUGUCGGUUUCUAUUAUGAUCUCAAAUUAAUAUGUUCUAGUAGCUGAGUUCAAGUCAAAUAUUUAGUGAGUUUCGUAGUUCUUAGAUUUUGCAGAAAAAUGGAAACAAAAACUUGAAGUGUAGCCUUGUUCUUGUGCUUGUGCAAAAGCUUUCAGUCAGAUGAUUGAAAGAGUGUAGGCCCUUCAUUGUUACAAAAU